rnacentral:rRNA from 1 species
UUUCUANUGGGCGAAAGCCUGAAGGAGCGACGCCGCGUGGGGGAUGAAUGGCUUCGGCCCGUAAACCCCUGUCAUUUGCGAACAAAUUAAUCUACCCAACACGUGGAUUAUUGAUUGUAGCGAAAGAGGAAGGGACGGCUAACUCUGUGCCAGCAGCCGCGGUAAUACAGAGGUCCCAAGCGUUGUUCGGAUUCACUGGGCGUAAAGGGUGCGUAGGCGGUCGGGUAAGUCUGACGUGAAAUCUCCGGGCCUAACCCGGAAACUGCGUUGGAAACUGCCUGGCUCGAGGAAUGGAGGGGAGACUGGAAUACUUGGUGUAGCAGUGAAAUGCGUAGAUAUCAAGUGGAACACCAGUGGCGAAGGCGAGUCUCUGGACAUUUCCUGACGCUGAGGCACGAAAGCCAGGGGAGCAAACGGGAUUAGAUACCCCGGUAGUCCUGGCCCUAAACGGUGCACGUUUGCUGUAAGUGGAAUCGACCCCACUUGUGGCGUAGUUAACACGAUAAACGUGCCGCCUGGGAAGUACGGCCGCAAGGUUAAAACUCAAAGAAAUUGACGGA